GUUUUUUAUGUGAUCUCUCAGCCACCGCAGCCUGAGCAGACAUUAAUAUCACAAAAAGACUAAAAUCUGGGAUAUGAUCUAACCUAAUUUUUUUUCCAUUUUCUCUCUAAUCUUCAACAUUCUUAUUCCCCUUUCUCUUUGGAUUUGUGUUCUUCCUCUCUUUUCUCUCUUCAAAUAUAUCAGCCACUCUCGCUCCCUUCUCUCAUCAACACCAAUAUUUGUUAGAACCUUAAGCUCUCGCAUAUGAUGUCUCGUGAAUCUCACAGUCAUGGGACAAAACUUCGCCGCCGAGAAAGGAAUUCCCCAAAUUCGAAACCAUACUUCUCCUCCGAAGAAAUCCUCAAGGGAUUUGAGAAACCAAUAUCGUUUAGGUUACUGGCGGCUAAAGUAAUGGAUAUGGAGAAAGCAGGUACGAUGUAUUUCAUCUCAAGCAGAUAUGACGAUCCUUGUUAGAUGUUCGUCCUUAGAAGGAUACUCAAAAAAGGUGAUAAAUAGAUCCAUUAUCUUGUUUUAUUGUAAUAUAUUUUUGUUAACUGAUUGUGGUGUCGGAUAAUUUCUUUGUCUUCUAAUUUUUUUUUCAAAGUUGUUGUUGUUGUUGUCGUUGUUGGUUUUGAUUACAAGUACAAUUUUUAAGGUUUAAUUAUUUUGUUAAUCAGAUCAAAGAAGGAGAUCAAAGGUAGAGACCAUAUGUGUACAACUAAUUCCAUUGAAUGACACCAUUCCUUCACUUAUGUCUGAUUUUGAUGUUAUUAUAUGUUCCUUGUGUUCCUUUUACUUUGUAACCCUAGUACGACGUCUUCAGAUCUGGAAGUGACAACAAAGGAAUCUCCAUUGAAGAUCAAUACGCCACCGAUAAGCCUCCAAGGUCCAAUCGAACCAGGCUUGAACCAAAAUUUGAACAAUUAGAGAAGUAAACCGGGUUUAGUCAGCUGGUACACCGUUAUGACUUUUGUUUAGGCAGACGGAGUUAGAGGGGGAAUCUUAACGCUUUUGUUUUUGCGGGGUUGUUUUGUAAACUUUAAGUUUUAUUUGGGGGUUGGGGCAAAAUAUGUAAAUACGGUUUAACAAUUUAUUUUCUCGGUUUAUCGCAUUAAUUAUGAAGUCUCUAUCUCUCUCUUAACUUA